UCACUACUCCCUCCGUUUCAAAUUACUUGUCGCAAAAAUGGAUGUAUCUAGAACUAAAAUACAUCUAGAUACAUCCAUACCUGCGACGAGUAAUUCGGAACGGAGGGAGUACUUU
rnacentral:pre_miRNA from 1 species